AUGUGGAUUCCAAUAGGUUAUAAUGGCUUGAAGUCAGAGGACUUCUUCUGUAUGAUAAUACAUACAAACACCAUGGCCAAAGAGACUUUCAAACUCUUCAUAACACAACACAUAUUAACAAGUAGAAACAUCUCACUCAAGAGAAUGAGUUAUUUACAAACCAAACUGAAUGUAAACUGGUACAGCCAUUAUAGAAAACAGCAUGGAAAAAGAGAAAUGCUAGUUCUGAUCAUCCUGCUUGAAGCCAGAUAUAUCCUUCAACUCACUAGUAAAAUCAAUACAUUCACAUAUUUUAUUGUUACCUAGGUCAGAUUUUUACCUGUUCCUAAAAUCAUUAUCACUACUUCAACUAUAAUACCUCAAAACCAUUAAUCAUAUUAAACAAUUUAACUUACUAAAGUUAUAUAUCAAAAGACACGUACUAUCUGUCCUCAAAGAUAAGUUUUCUCAAGCUAGCAAAAAAUCUGUAUCCAUCAUCCUAUAUUUUCAAUUUCUCCUAAAGAGGCAGAGCUAUAAACAGUACCUUUGAAAAACAUCACACAAGCAUAGCCCAUAUUUUUAUGCUUUUGAUCACCACUGAGAAAGCUGCUUACAGAAUUCUUAUACAAUUUAAUAAAUCUACACAAAAUAGUAACAUUCAUUCAAACAAUCAUUUUUCUAUAAUACAGAAAAAAUACAGUAAAAUUACCUCUAAUCCCUUAGAGUGGACAUUUUUACUUUCCAGGUUUUUUUUUUUUUAAUGUUUCAGUUCAGUUCAGUCGCCCAGUCGUGUCCACCUCCUUGCAACACCAUAAACUGCAGCACACCAGGCCUCCCUGUCCAUCACCAACCCCUGGAGUUCACCCAAACCCACGUCUGAAGAGCACAUUACAGUUUUCCUCACCGGACAGGUAUAAUGCAUUAAGAUGAAAAUCUCAAUGUUCAAGAAAAGGAUGUGUCACCUUAACAAGAGCGUCAAACAUAUUUAUGCCCUGGUGCAAGACCACAGUAUAGAAGACUACAUUAGUAAUGGUCUAUUAUUAAAAUACUAAGAUGUUAAAGGGGGCAAAUGAUGAUUGAAGUGCACCUUCUACAUAGCUACACUUCUACAAUAUAACCACAAUAUCCACAAGUAGUUUGCGCUUGGACUGUUUCUACUUUGAUGUGUUAUAAUGUAUCUUCUAUUCAAGAACUGAGAACUUGGUCUCUUCUACCUAUGCAAAAUCAUGACUAUAAAGAGCUCCAUAUUUAUUGCUGAUAUUCAGUCAUUAAAUAAGAGUCAGUGAAAGUAAAGCUGGACACUGCUUUUUUUCUUAUAAAUUUAAGGAGUCCUUUGACUUUAGUAAUUACAAAAUUUCUUUAGUAAUUUUAAGUCCUUUAGUAAUUAUAAAAGAAUACAGACAUCUUGGGCUUCCCUUGUGACUCCGCUGGUAAAGAAUCUGCCUGCAAUGCAGGAGACCUUGGUCCAAUCCCUGGGCUGGGAAGAUCCCCUGGAGAAGGGAAAGGCUACCCACUCCAGUAUUCGAAUUCCAUGGACUGUAUAGACCAUGAGGUUGCAGAGAGUCGGACAUAACUGAGCAACUUUCACUUCACAGACACCUUGUUUACCAAAAACAAGAGGAUAAAAUUUGGGGGCGGGGAAGAAAUGUGCAUAAAACUGGUGACCACAUUUAAAAAGAAAAAUUGUGGAUGUUAUAACUUUGAAAGAAAUAUUAUUUCCAACACUAUAUAUUGAGAGAAAGAAUGUGUGUGUACUGAAUUUUGGGGAUUUUUCCCCUCCUUUUCUUAUUUUAUUCAAAUUAGGACUUCUAGAAAUAACAUACUGCUAAAAAAUUCAAUGAAUAUGAUGAAUUUACAAAAGAAUUUACAAAGAUACACAUGGUUCGUCUGGGUAUACAAAAGAGGGAAAAAUUCAUGUCGGACUGAAUUAUUAUAUGUAACUAUUUGCAGUUUCCCAAUUCACUGGGUAUUUAUAUACAACUCACCAAUUUGCCUUAGUUACACAGAUACCAUCUUAAAGUGUCAGACUGAAUUUAUCUUCUUUCAUUUUAUGACUUCUGUCACCAUCUGAAAUGCUUUAAAAUAUUCUAGAAAAAAACUUUUAAAUUUUACUUCCAAAAAAACAGGAUUGUUAAAAGUCAAACAUUAUUUUAAAAGUUCAUUGCCAAGGCCCGUCGGCUUUCAUGUCGAAGUGAAAAAUCUUAAAUGUUGGGAAAAAAAGAAAAAAUACUAAACAAGUGACUCCAAGCUCCAAUCAAAAAACAAACUUUGUUGUUUUGUUCUGGGGGAUGACAUGAAUUUGGCACUGCAAUCCAUGUGAAAUAUUCUAUGGGUUCACAUAUUUGAGCCAAAAUGAUAAAUCAAGUUUCAAAUAACUAUAUUUUUAAAAACACACUAUAUAUCCACAUGCCAAGAUGCUGUGAAACAGUUGACCACAAAGAGAAUUAAUUUUACAGCAGAAUAAAUCAAACUAUUUUAAUAUAUUUAAUAUCAUGUUUAUUUUUUUUUAAUUUUAAGAGAAUUAAACACUCUUCUUCAGUUCUCCUAUGCAUGAGUUGCAGGAAAAAAGAAAAAAAAAAAGAUAAGGAAAGUUAAACUAGAAGUCCAAGUGGAAGCACCAAGUAAAAGAAAAUGAUUUUUAAAUUCCUAAGAGGGAAUAGCCCCUCUUUGUUCUUAAUGGUACCAUAUUAAUUAAUUCAAGAUCACUGGAACACAGGGAAAGCACCAAAAGGAGAAAGCAUUUCACAAAACCUAAGAUGAUUUUUAACAUAAGGCUGAGCUCCAAACUGGAUCCCUUUAAACCUCUGACUGAAGCAAGGAUAAGUUAAAAGUGAGUCUGGAGAACACGUUUUCCUUUGUUUGCAACAAUGAAUGACUGUCCUGUUUCAUCAGCCUGAAGCAUGAUUUAGUUAGUGGCACAGAAAAGCGCUGAGCAAGACACUGACACUCGGAUUUGCAAAGUGGGACUGAGGGACGAGGCUGCUCCACAAGGGGACAGCAUGAGGAUCAAUCCAUGGACUAUUUACAGUCUAGAUACACAGCCAGGGAAACUGAAAAAAAGUACUGAUAUGCAUUUUAUAUUUUAGAAAUUAUAUUUUGUCCAAUUUAACAUCAAGAAAAUUACUUAACUAUUUCCAGCAACCAACAAAAAUUGUAAGACAUAUACCCCUCAUUUUACAUGUAUAACUUAAAACUCAGCAGUAUUCCAGGUAUGAAAACUAAAACUAUAUAUAUACAUUACCCCAUAUAUCUGCUCCUCCAUUUGUUGAUAAAUAUUCUCUAUUUUUACUCAGUAAGAUAAAUGCAUAAUUUUUUAAGGUUGAUUUAAUCAGUGCAGGUGGUAAACCCUUCUGUUGUAAUUAGCAUCUGGAGACGGGAUUUUUUCUUUUUUCUUUUUUUUAAUGUACGGUAUUCCUGCUGGCUAAAGCACUAUACUAAAUAAAGUCAGGGUCAUAUUUCUUUCUUUCUUGACAGAUUAAGUAGUUUCUCUUUCAUUGCCUGAAACCAUAUCCAUCUACCUAUGGCCAACCAUCUCACAAAUACAUAUUUUUGAACAUUAAGAUCAUUAAGCUAACAUGGAAUGAUGAAACAAAGCCAUUGGUAAAAUAAGAUGAUAAAAUAAGAACUCAGGAUAACUUGAAGGCGAAUAGAGGAAGGGAUAGAGGGAGGGAGGAAAGAAAGGAAGGAAAGGAAGCACAGAUAGUGUCUUGUCAAUUCACAUAUGCUGAUAUAUUUUCCAGUUUGAUCUCCUACCCACGUCAACAUGAUGAGAUCUCACUAUUUCUUUAGACAUUUUAAGAAAACACAUAUUCUUUCAAUGAAUUCUUCCAUUAUAUAAUAUAAGUGAAUACCCCAAUGCUAAAACUUUGGAUAUGUUCCACCAAUUAUUUUCACAGCUAGAUAAAGUUAAAUUAUUUUUACAGCUAGAUAAAGUUAAUUUAAGAGCAACUGAUAAUAGAUUCUAAACUUUCCAUAGGAAUGCAAUGAAAAUAUUUUAAUAAAUAGGAAACUGAUUUCUUUGAUAAUCAAAAAACACCAAUUAAUAGAUAAAAUGCUGCAUACUUUUAGAAUGAGGAAAAAUAUAUCUCUGGAUCCAUCAUUCAUAUGUAGCUCAUAAAUAAUAUGUGGUGAGAUGCUUUGGUAGAGAGUAGGCACUGAGCUUUUAUUUAUAUCUGCCAUACACUUUUCUGUACAUAUAGGUACAGAAUAUGGCCCUAUUAGGUUAAUAUAAAGCGAACAACUGUCCAUUAUUUCUCACAGGAGACUUAAAAGCAAUAGAAUCACUGGAUACAGAUAUUUUAGAAAGAGAGACAGUGGACUCUGGUUAAGAAAGUCAAUCAUAUGUCUUAAGUAUAAAUGUGUUACAAGGUUACGGUGUUUUGUUCCUUCUGGAGAAGGCUCUAUGAAAAUUCCUGCUUGUUUGAAUAGAUGUUUGUAGGAGAUCUGAAUUAAAGACCAUUCGGUGUCACUUCACAUCAAUUAAGAUGCAUGGAAAGACACUGAAAUAGUCAGGAUAUGUUAUUAAGAAUAAACAAUCCAGAAUGCACUGGCUUCGAUCAUGUAUUAGGGACAGGACCACAACUGUGUAAUUGUGGAUGAAGUGCAUAUAGUUACAUAAUUGUAGGGGGAUGCUCUGGAGUGUGGACCUUAGCCCUAUGAAUCAUUUCAAUAUCCAGGGAGAUUAAGGACUCUGGGCACGGUCCUCUCAAAUUUGUACCAAAAUGUAGAGGGCAGUGAGGUGGGUGCAUAAAGUACUCCACUUAGUAGAGUAAGCUGCCCCAGGGUUCUGGAAACAGGUAAGGAGCUAGAAGACUUAGGAUGAACGUAAGCCUUUGAGACAUGAAAUUUCUUUAACAACAUCUGUAUUGUACUGUGUGUUAUUUUUCUUUUGUUAUCCUUGAACUUUAUCAGUAAAGUCUGAACCACUGGAGUCGAUUCUCUACUAUACUUUGGAGAAUUGAAGAGUUGGCACCAUUUCUGAAAUUUAGUUAACAGAGAGUAGUGUCUCUGAAUUCCUAGGCACAAGGUAACAGAAUUUAUAAGCAGCAGAGCUGAAGGAAUAGACUAGGGCAGGUCUAACUGAGAUCAUCAGCAUCUGAGUGAGGCAGCUGCUGCAAAA
rnacentral:lncRNA from 1 species